rnacentral:lncRNA from 1 species
UUUUCGGUAGAAUGCUUUCCAUCUUAUUUUCCUUUGAGAAGGACUUGUUCAACUCAACGACCAAUUUCAGCCAAUGGGUCUAUUUCAAUCUCAAGUCUAUAUCAAUCGAAUGACCUAUUUUAGCUAACACAGAUAAAGCCCCAACACCAGUAGAAAAUCUCACCACCUUUGACCCCAUUUCACCAUCAAGAUCUUUGACACGGGCGUCUCAAAUCAUGUCACAUCUGAUAAGCAAACACUUCACAAUGUCUCAGAAUAUGGUGGUCUAGAUGAAAUCAUUCUCGCUGAUGGUAUAGGUUUACCUAUCUCUAACAUUGGUAACACAUACAUAUACACACCACACAAAAUAUUGUUACUAACUUAAUCUUAUAUGUUCCGUGUUUAUAUUGAACUCUUGUUUACAUUUCUCAAUUAUGUAACACUAAUCUAGUUUUCGGUAGAAUUCUUUCCAUCUUAUUUUCCUUUUAGAAGGACUUGUUUAACCCAACGACCAAUUUCACCCAUUGGGUCUAUUUCAAUCUCAAGUCUAUAUCAAUCCAAUGAGCUAUUUUAGCUAACACAGACAAAUCCACAACACCAGUAGAAAAUCUCACCACCUCUUACCCCAUUUCACCAUCGAGCUCUUUGACAUGGGCGCCUCAAAUCAUGUCACAUCUGAUAAGCAGACACUUCACAAUGUCUCAGAAUAUGAUGGUCCAGAUGAAAUCAUUCUCGCUGAUGGUAUAGGUUUACCUGUAUCUAACAUUGGUAACACAUACAUAUACACACCACACAAAAUAUUGUUAUUAACUAAAGACUUACAUGUUCUGCGUUUACAUCGAACACUUGUUUAUAUUUCUCAAUUAUGUGACACUGAUCUAGUUUUGGUAGAAUUCUUUCCAUCUUAUUUUCCUUUGAGAAGGACUUGU